UAGGGAAUCUUCGGCAAUGGACGAACGUCUGACCGAGCAACGCCGCGUGAGUGAAGAAGGUUUUCGGAUCGUAAAACUCUGUUGUUAGAGAAGAACAAGGACGUUAGUAACUGAACGUCCCCUGACGGUAUCUAACCAGAAAGCCACGGCUAACUACGUGCCAGCAGCCGCGGUAAUACGUAGGUGGCAAGCGUUGUCCGGAUUUAUUGGGCGUAAAGCGAGCGCAGGCGGUUUCUUAAGUCUGAUGUGAAAGCCCCCGGCUCAACCGGGGAGGGUCAUUGGAAACUGGGAGACUUGAGUGCAGAAGAGGAGAGUGGAAUUCCAUGUGUAGCGGUGAAAUGCGUAGAUAUAUGGAGGAACACCAGUGGAGAAGGCGGCUCUCUGGUCUGUAACUGACGCUGAGGCGCGAAAGCGUGGGGAGCAAACAGG
rnacentral:rRNA from 1 species